AACAGGCUUCACCUCCUUCUCCAUUGUUAACCAACCCCCAAAACUCCAUUAAAGCCACCAUUAGCCACCGUUGAAAACCAAGGAAACAGAUCUGAAAUUGUCACCUAAAAUAGUCCCUAAAGCCACGAAAAUCAGUCCAAAAAGACAGCCAUGAAAUCCUAGCUCAAAACCAUCCAAAAACACCUGAGAAUAUAUCCAAAACCAACCUUGUUUCCACACCAAAAUCCUAGCAAAACCAGCUGAAAAAUAGCCUCUCAAACCCUUAAAACAACUGCAAAAAUCAGCCACCAAACAACCUUAAAAAACAGCAAAAUUCCAACGUCAACCCUACCUCCGGAUACCGAUAGAGUAUAAUGAUAUAGGCUUCCAACGAGUUUGAGUCAAGUGGGGUCGCAACAGUCGAGUUCGUCGGUUCGAGGUUCUGAUGAAUAGCUAACUUUGUUAUUUCUUUCGGAGUCUCAUUUUCACUGUAUGCAACAGAGAGAGUAAGUUCAAUAAUAAAGGUCUAAUUUUGUCUCCCUUUUCUCAUUCAUUUAGGAUGCUUAUGAAUAUCUGAUUUUAUCUCAAGUUGUUUUUUUGAAUUUGUAAUUGUUUGGCAUCAUUUGAUUGAUUGAGAUUAUUUGUUGUUAACUUCUUGUUGGUCUUUAAUUUAUUGUCAAGUGUGCUGUAAGUUAAAUUUUGAAAGAAGAAUCCAUAUGCUUCUUGAUUGAAGUUUAAUAUCUGAAGAUAGAAGAUAUCAAAUGGGUCAUGUGCUUUUGAUUAUAUUUUCAGAAAAAAGUGAAAGUUUGUGUUGGGCAGGGGAAUUUGAUUUUCCUUUAAGGAUAAUGGGUCAUAUUUGAAAAUGAAUUUUUUAUGUUUAAUUUAGUCAAGAUAUAGCUGCCCUGUUUCCAUUAAAUUUCCUCGUCCAUUUCGUAAACUAGUUGGUCCAAUUCUUGUAAAUACAUAAGGGAUCCUUUUCUUUAAUUACUAUGUAAGUGUAUCAAUGAAAUUCAUAACAUCUUCUCUACAAUUUUACUCCCAUAACUCUUGGCCUUACAAUAAUCUUAAGUUAGCUUCAGGAAAAUAAUUCAAGAAAAUGCGUAGUUGCUUUAGGCGCGCUAUCUUAAAAUUAACUUCCUAAACUCGGGUGCGCAUUUAUGUGACCCAUAUCCAAAUCUCAACAAUGUUAGAUAAAAUAUGUCGAAGACCGCGGGUGCAUUUAUGUGACGUUGUUCAAGACAUAUUUUAAAUGACAUUGUAAUCUUCCUUAAAGAUGAUUAAAAGCGGCUAAUGAUUUAAGAUUGCAUCAUAGGCUAAAACAUGUACUAAAAUCAGAUAAUAGGCCAAUUAUAAUAGUUGAGCGACCGUGCUAGAACCACGGAAUCCGGAAAUGCCUAACACCUUCUCCCGGGUUAACAGAAUUCCUUACCCGGAUUUCUGUGUUCACGGACUAUAAUAUAGAGUCAAUAUUUUCCUCGAUUCGGGAUUUGAACCGGUGACUUGGGUACCAUAAAAUUAUCCCAAGUGACGACUCUGAAUUUAAUAAAUAAAUAAUCUCAUUUCGAUUGUCACAUAAAGUUGGAAAAACUCCCUUAUACCCCUUUCGGAGGGUGUAGGAAAAAGGAGGUGUAACAAUGUGUAUUUAAGAAAGUCAUGAAACGACUUUCCAAUCAACUUUACGAAAAUUCUUUUUGAGAUCUGUUGCAUCUCAUUCGUGUAUACAAUAUAGUUCCAAAAAAUACUAGCUCUUAGGAGUUAUAUGGCAUCUGUAGGCAUACACAGUUUCAUUUCUCCAAAGCUCUUGAUGAUAUCUUUUCUUCCCCAUCCCAAAUAAGUUGACUUGAUAAUAGUUCUACACCUAAGCUCUGGCUCAUACGGAUUUUUCAUACUUCGAUCCACCGUUACAUGUUUCGUCACGAUUGCGUAUGUUGAAAGAUUGUCAAGAGAAUCGGCUCAGGUAUGUUAAGGCUAUCCCUUCAUUCUUUUGUCAUGAUUUAUACUUCACAAAUAAAACAAGCAAAUGCACAAUUUCCAUAAAUGACUCUAUUCAUAGAAAUACUAGAGAUGCUUAUGUUCUUGAUUUCCUAUGUGUCAUAUUAUUCUAUCAUCUAUUCAUGGGUCUCAGAAAAAUACAUAAGUUGAAAAAACGUUUACUUCAUGACAUUACUCAAAGGCAUAAUGGUCUUAUGAUAUUCCAAGAUAUUUAUUGACGUACUUCUCAUGCAUUGCAUUUAUGUACAUUGACCCAUGACCAGACAGCGUUAUAUACGCAUAUAUAUGUAUAUAGACGUAUAUGGGAUAUAGGAAAAGGUUAUGGCAUUAUAUACGCACCACCACCUGAUCAGCUGGUAUACAAUGAUGAUGUUGUCCACAGUGGCUGAAAUAUGACUCAGACGACGUUAUAUACGCGUAUAUAUGUAUAUAUAUAUAUAUAUAUGUAUAUGAGAUAUGGGAAAAGGUUACGGGGUUAUAUACGCACCACCACCUGAUCAGUUGGUAUACGUUGAUGAUGUUGCCCACAGUGGCCGAGAUGAUAUGAUGGGAUUCCCUCAGAGGCUUGAUGAUGUUAUUUACGUACAUACCUAUGAAUCACAUGAUAUUCAUACGCAUAUGCAUGACAUUAUAAAUAUUUCAUGAUUUACAGAGCUAUCCACACUUACAGGAUGAAUUGUCUACUCCAUGUUUCUUCCAUGUCCUUAAUUAAUGUUGACUUAUUGUUAUGUUUCAGCUCCGCCUUACAUACUCGGUACAUUAUUCGUACUGAUGUCCUUUUGUUGGGGACGUUGCAUUCAUGCCUGCAGGUAUAGACAAUCAGUUUGACGAGCCCUCACAGUAGACGAGAUUUGCAUUCAACGAAGGAUCGGUAAGACUCCACUACAUUCAGAGUGGAGCCGAGUCUAUGAGUCAUCGUGUCAGAAUUUUUUUUACAGGCUUAUGGGUAGGCCGGUACCCUGUCCCAUUUGAUGUUGAAUGAUCUUAGAGGCUUUGUAGACAGAGGUUCAGUUUGUACAAUAUGUCAGAGGCCUUGACGACCCAUAUGUAUUCAUGUUUUAAAAAAAAUAGUUCAGUAAUAUAGUGUUGCCUACCUAUAGUUAUCCAUUACGAGUUGUGGCCAUGUUAGCCCAUGGUAGUUACAAAACAAAAGAAAAAAAGGAAGUUGCAGAGUGAUUCACUCGGGCCAGUGCGGCACCGGGUGCCAGCCGCGCCUCCCCAAGUUUGGGGCGUGACAGCUAACCAGACGGACUAGAGUGUCCUGAAGUAUGGGAGUGGCUAUAAACCUCUACGGGACCUGAGCUGGUCUAACUUGUGUAGUUUGAGUAGAAGGGUCCUCCUCCUGCUCGAUUUGAGGAUCUGUAAUAGGUGUUACUCCGCGCGCUCUAGGUUGAGCUCUGCCUCGGCUCUUAACUCGGCCCCAGCCUCUACCCUUGGUGAUGGCUGCAGCCUGGGGUCCAUUGUGGAUGUUGUGCGUGUCCUCAUCAUCUUUAAGAGAACAAGAAUAGAAUAAUUUAAACUCAAUGAUAGAAUAAAAUCGCACGACAGAGAAGGAAAGAAGUGAAAUUUUCCUAAAUCCCUAUAGUUUCUAGAAGAUAAGUACAAACGUCUCCAUACCGAUCCUCCAUACCCUACUAAACUUGUGAGACCUAGAUAACCUGGUGCUCUAAUACCAACUUGUCACGACCCGAAAUCCCAACCGCAAGUCCGUGAUGGCACCUAACGUCCACUUACUUGGCAAGCCAACUUAGUACAUAACAAAUCAUUUUUAAACUAAUUCAAAAGCAAUUUAAUAAGAAAUAAAGCUGUAAAAAUUCAAAAUAGAUAUAAUACCUUCAAACGCUGACUAAUCAAAUUUCAAAAUCUGGUGUCACAAGUACAUGAGCAUAGUAGAAGUGCUACAACCAAUGUCUGAAUGAAAAUACAAUUAUUUGAAACAAAAUAAACUGUAAAACUAGAUUAAAAAAAGGGGACUUCAGGGACUACAAUCGCCAUGCAGCUCUACCUAGAGUCUCCAUGAAAAGCUUAUCCGACUGAGUCUCCUCUAACUGAUGCUGGGACCAACACCAGAAUUUGCAUAAGAAGUACAGAAGUGUAGUAUGAGUACAACCGACCCCAUAUACUCCAUAAGUACCGAGUGUGACGAUCUGGUCAGUUGUCUCAUGAGUUACCGCUCCAUUUUCUCUAUUUCUUCUUCUUUAUGCUUUGUUUAUCCGUGUUAUGUGGUAUCGGGUGGGUCAGAUCGAAUCCGGAAUGAUUUUGGUAAGAUUUGAGACACUUAGUCUCUUUUGAGGAAGCUUAAGUUGGAAAAGUCAACUGGAUGUUGACUUAUAUGUUAGAGGGCUCAGAUGUGAGUUCUGAUGGUUUGGAUAGCUUCGGGAGAUGAUUUGGGACUUAGAAGCGCGAUCGGGAUAAGUUUUGAAGGUUCAGAGUAGAUUUAGGCUUGAAUUGGCGAAGUUGAUAUUUUGGCGAUUUCCGGUUGGUAGGCGAGAUUUUGAUAUAGGGGUCGGAAUGGAUUUUCGAGAGUUGCAAAAGCUCCAUUGUGUCAUUUGGGAUGUGUGUGCAAAAUUUUAGGUCAUUCAGACGUGGUUUGGUUGGGUUUUUGAUCGAAAACAUAAUUUAAGAGUUUUUGGAGUUCUUAGGCUUGAAUCCUAUGUUAAAUUGGUGUUUUGAUGUUGUUGUUAGCAUUCCAAAGAUUUAAACAAGUUUGAAUGAUGUCAUGGGAUGUGUUGGUACAUUUGGUUUGAAGCCCCGGGGGCUCGGGUGAGUUUCGGGUAGGUUCUGGGAUGUUUUAGGCCAAAAACAUAGUUGUUGCAGGUUCAGAGAGGUUGCAAACACUAGUGCGGUCCACAAAGGAUUUUGUGCGGCCGCGGUGGGGGCUUUGCAGCCACACUCAAUUUUGUCCGGUCCGCGGUGAGAAAGGUUUCACUGGUCUGACUUCGGAAGCUUAUAUCUUUUGAUCUAGAAGGAAUUUGAUGAUCAUUCAAAAACAAAAAUUGUAGAGCUUUGAAUCUAGUUUUGAGAAACAUAUUAUAAUAGCCAUUUGGAAAUCUGUAGCGAAGGUUAUGGCCGAAAUACCAAAGCCGGUCACUGCAGUCAAAUCCACCGCGGUCAGCACUGGUUUUUGUGCGGUCAGCGGUGCUCCACCGCGGUCCACACUUGAUUUUGUGCGGUCAGUAGUGGUAGAAAUCCGGGAGGUGCUCUAUAAAUACGAGGUUUAGGGUUUUAUUUUAUAUUUUGACCUAGAGAGCUCGAAUUUUGGCGAUUUUUCGAAGGUUUUUGAAGAAAUUCAUCGGGGUAAGUGAUUCUAAUUCAGAUUUGGCUAGAGUACAUGAAUCUAUCAUUGAAUUCAUCAUUUGAUUCAUUAUUUGGGAUGAAAUUUGGGAAGAAAAUCUGUGAAACCUUUCAAAAAUGUAAAAUGAUGAUUUGAAGGACCAAAUGGUAUCGGAAUUGGAUAUUUUUGAGUGGGCUUUGUUCCCUUAAUAUAUUUUGAUGGUUUUGUACUGAUUUAGGUUAGAUUUGGAGCAUCCGGAGGCCGAUUAGAGAGGCAAGGGCAUCACAGGAUAGAGUUCGAACUGCAUAGAGGUAAGUAAUGAUUGUAAAUGUUGUCCCGAGGGUAUGAAACCUUGAAUUUCAUAUCGUUGUGCUACUUUGAGGUGACACACACGCUAGAUGACGAGCGUGGGGUGUGCACCAUUGGGUAUUUUGACUUAGUCCGUCCAGUAUGACUUUUAAAUCGCGUAUUUGAUUGAAAACUAUUUGAUAUCAUUGUGUUUUGGAAAGUAUUAUCAUGUUUUGGACUGAAUGCCAUAUUUGGGCCUUGUGCCAACUGUUUUGGACCCUUAGGGGAUUUUUACUACUAUUCCUCACUGUUUUGACUUCAUAUUUGUACUCAGUCAUGUUGUAUUCUACUGUUUUCAUAACUCAGCCAUAUUUACUCCGUUUUGAUAUUUUAAAUGAUAUUUUGGGUUGAGCAUCAUGUUUUACUAUUGCCCGAGUGGCAUGAGAGAUUUCUGAUAGAGUGAGGCCGAGGGCUUGUGUUGUGAGGAUAUUAUGGGAUCGGGCUGCGCGCCGUAGCAAUGUUAUAUUAAUUCAUGAUUUUGAGGCCGAGGGCCUGAUUUGUUACGCCACGAGGUGGCUUGUUGAUAUGAGGCCGAGAGCCUAUUUGAUUAUGCCACAAGAAGGCUUGUUAUUGCGCUUGGGCCGUAAGGGGCCCCUCCAGGAAUCUGUACACCCCCAGUGAGCGCGGGUACCCAGUGAGAGUGAUAUGAUGUAGCCCGAUGGAUUGUUGUUGUUUCAUGUUAUUACCCGAGGGGCGGUUCUUUAUUCAUGUUAUGCCCGAGCAGCUGAUUACGAGUGAUUGUGAGGUAGUCCAAAAGGUUGGUUCUGUUCAUAUUAUGCCCGAGGGGCGGUUUAUGAUACAUGUUUUGCCCGAGGGAUUGUUUAUGUUUCUACCCUUUUCUCACUAUUUUCAUCACUCGUUUGAAACUAUUGAAAGAUGUUUUAAAAGGAAAUAGUUUUAUUGAAACUGAGUUAUUUUACGAGAAAAUGGUUUCUGUACUGUUUUUGAGAAAUAUACAGUAUUUGUUGUAGUGCUAUGAUGGAAAAUUAUGUGUUUUCUUUCUGCUCAGCUUUCAUUUACUUUUAUUACUUUUUGAGUUGGCGUACUCACAUUACUCCCUGCACCAUGUGUGCAGAUCCAGCAGUUGCGGGUCACGAUAGUGAGCAUUUAUUGUCCAUUCAGCAGGAUUUCGGAGUCGACAAGGCAGCUGCAUGGCGUUCGCAGCCCUGUUCUUCUCCC
rnacentral:lncRNA from 1 species